UACGUAGGGGGCAAGCGUUGUCCGGAUUUAUUGGGCGUAAAGAGCGUGUAGGCGGCCUUACAGGUCAGCUGUGAAAACUCGAGGCUCAACCUCGAGACGUCGGUUGAAACCGUAUGGCUAGAGUCCGGAAGAGGAGAGUGGAAUUCCCGGUGUAGCGGUGAAAUGCGCAGAUAUCGGGAAGAACACCCGUGGCGAAGGCGGCUCUCUGGGACGGUACUGACGCUGAGACGCGAAAGCGUGGGGAGCAAACAGG
rnacentral:rRNA from 1 species